rfam:Lingula anatina scaffold28, whole genome shotgun sequence.
GGCCGGGUAGCUCAGUAGGUAAGAACACUCGCCCUGAAAGCGAGGGGUCCCGGGUUCGAUUCCUGGUCUGGUCU